CAAUUAAUUUGUUUAAAAUAUUUAAAAGUUUGAUUGAAAAUAUUAUAUAGUGACUGUUUUUUUUUUUUUUUUUGUCAAGAAUAUAGUGAGGAGAGGAAGGAGAAUCCAGUCCAAAUUAUGAAAUUAUACUGCCUUUUUAUUUUUGGCUCAAAACAGAAGCCAAAACAUUGUAAUAAAAACAUGUUAUUACGGGCCUAGACCCGCUGAAAUACACCAAAAAUUGUGAUCCGGCGGUAGCUUUACGGAUCAGGAUAUUGAACCCGACGUGAAUCGAACACGCAACCUUCUGAUCUGGAGUCAGACGCGCUACCAUUGCGCCACGGAUCCGCUUGCUACUUCAUUCGCAAAUUAAUUUUUAAAUUAUGCAUCAUUUUACUACCACCCCUUUCGUUUGCUGAUCAGUCCCCAAACGAAAUCAGAAACAGAAACCGAAACGCAAAAAAAUAAAAAUAAAAAUAAAAUCCCGCCAAGCUCAAGAAACUUAUCAACCGUUUUCUCUCUCUCUAAAAAUUCCCACCAACAAACCAACUCGUAGCUCUUCUCCAUUUCUCGCGGCGGUGAAAGGUUACAGUGAGAAGAAGAUUCGGAAAUGGCGGCGGAAGGAGGUUCCGAUCAAUUCAUCGACAUCGUUAAGCUCUCUCCUCCGACAAAGUUCCCGGCGGCAUUCCCCCAGGACCUCAAGGUGGCUCCCUCCUUGAAACGCCGCCGCUCUGGCGGUGACACGUGGGUGGUGUCAGUGUUCGUGAUCAUCCACGUGGGUGUCUUCAUCGCAACGGCUACUGCGCCCUAAAAACCCUCGGAAGGUUCUCCUUCUUACCUCUCUCUGAGAAUCCUCUCUUAGGCCCUUCUCAGUCCAAAUUAGAGGAAAUGGGAGCGCUUCGGAGGAAUUUCGUGACAGAGUAUCACCAAACUUGGCGUCUUUUCACCUCUCCAUUUCUUCAUGCUGGGCUUUUCCACCUCCUCCUCAAUCUCUGCAGUAUCAUUGAAUUCACCUAGAGCGCGAGCUUGAACCGGUAAGGAUUGGUGUAAUCUAUGCAAUGUCUGCAUUUGGGGAGCCUUGAUGGCUUCUCUUUUUCUUCAGCACACCCCAGCUGUUGCCUCUUCUGGGGCUUUGUAUGGAUUACUAGGAACUUUACUCUCUCAGCUCAUUUGGAACUGGGAAUUACAAACCAAAAGGGUUUCAGCAAUAGUCUCUUUUGUCUUUGUAUUUGUUUGCAAUUUCAGCCUUGGCUUUCUGCCUUAUGUCCUCAACUUUGCGAGCAUUGGAGGUUUGUAUCAGGGUUCCUUCUUGGAUCUGUACUUCUACUCAGCAGAAAGAUUGAACUGCCAAAGGUUCAAAUCAAAUUAAAGGAACUCUCUUUGAUUAUGGUGUCAACUGUCAAGAGUUACAUCAAGUUAAAGUUGAAGCAAAACAUGGACAGACCGGUUCUCAGGAUUGUUUCUCUUAUCCUCUUUAGCCUGAUGUAUGUUACUUGUUUCUUUAUCCUUGAAUUCAAUUUGCAUGCCUAGCUGUCUUGUAUUAUUACUGCUUUCUGGCAUGAGUUGCAGAUUGGCCGGUUAUCUUGUGGCAGUUCUUCAUGGGAUCAACAUCAAUAGUUAUUGCACAUGGUGCCCAUAUGUUGAUUGUAUCCCUUGUACAAACUGGCACUGCCAAAAUAGAGAAACCUCUUGCAAGGUAUCAAGCAUCCUUGUUAACCUUACCUGAAGUGAACAAAACGUAUUAUUUAUAGUCACUCUAUUUAUGCAUUGAGUCAAUACAUAUUCCUCUACCAUUAAGUGUGAGACUUAUCUUAUGUGAAUUCCACAUCUCAUCCAAUAGUGGAAGGAUGUGAUUGUCGAGCUAUGAGUUCAUCAUAUCGUACGAUGUAGACAACAAAAAUCACAAUUAAAAAUACCAAACUAUGCUAUUCCAAAGUAAAAUACCAACCCAAUGGCUAGUUGAAAUAUUUCACUUACUUUGUACACUAAAAUGUUGUUUUAUUGGACAAUUUUAUAUCUUGGUUAAAUUACUAUAUUAGUUCCAAUAGCUUUUAAAAUAUAAAGACUCAAUUACAAUUUAUAAAUUUUAAAAAAUUACAGUAAUUUAACCUUAUAUUUAUUAAUACACCAUUAUUGGUUAUAGACAAGUUUCCUUCCUGUUGAAAAUGAAAAAUUGACAAGUUUCCUUUGAAUUGGAUAAUUUAAUCUAAAAUAAAAAAUUGGAUCCUUUAAAUUGAAGAGAGUACCAAAUAUUGGUAGGUCCUAUAAAGAGUUUAUGGAGCCAUUCAAAUUAAUAAUUAAAAAAAAGUUGCCUUUAAUCAUAUCAGUUAUUUUUAAUCUCAACCUAAACUUAUUUGAUAAAAGCGUUUAAGAAAUCAUUUUUAAUGUUUUCAUUUUAUGGGAUCAUUUAAUUUUUGAAUAUUUGUUUUCAGUUGUUAAACAUUUUUGUUUUUAAAAUGUAUAUGAAUCAAUUAAAGUGCAACAAUAUUAUAUGAAGUAAACAUAUAAUAAUAGUUGCCAUUAAAAUAAAAAGAAAGGUAAAAAAAAUUAUCCAAAUCAAUCUCCAAAAAUUUUUAAAGUGGACAUUUUAGUCUCCAAGAAAAAUUAAUAGUUUAAUACACAGAUUAAUUACCAAGGUUUUACUUCGGCAGACAAAUCAAUCUCCGGUCUAUUUUUCGAUAGAAUAAUUACCCAAAUCAAUUUUCAAAGAUUUUAAAAGCUGACAUUUUGGUCCUUAAAAAAAAUUCAUAUACAGAUCAAUUUCUAUAACCUAGUAUAUGCUUUUUAAGCAUUUGAUUUGAUUAAUGCAAGACUCAACAUAUUCUAAUUCUUUUUUUCUCCUAGUACAAAUAUGAAUAUCUAAAAUAAUAAGUAUGAUAUUAUUUGAUAAGUUUUAAUAAAAAUGAUUCUCUUCAUUCUUCAACUACUUUCUUUUUGUAAAUUUGUUUCUCUUGUCUUUCGACUUUUAAAUAUGUUUUCAUUUUUGGAAUGUGAAGUUUUCUUUUCCACAUUUUAUUACUGAAAAUUAUUUCAACUGGAGACUAACAAUGAGCUAUUCAUUGGGUUCAUUGAACAAAAUAUUCAAAUUUCACAUCGAGAGCAUGAGGCAAGAAGCAAUACGUCUGACAUUUGAAGUCUCACAUCGACGGAAGAAGAGUGUGAGAAGUCUUCAAUAUGCUAUAAAAAGCGAGGCGCUACAACAAUUUAAGGAUACUUACCUGGACGGGUCGGGUCAAUGGGCCAUUAAGAAGAUCCAUGGCCUAGGCUGGUAACUUCCAUUACACUAUGGAAGGGUGCUUGCCUAAGAUCUACUCAAGUGGUGGAGCCUAUGUCAUAAUUUGUAGUAGUGGGACUUGCGUUCGCGCGGUCCCUGUCUAAACAGAGUUUAUUUAGUAUGAUGAAUGAUAAAAUUGUAAAUAUUUUUUUUCUUUUCAUGUAGGAGUUAAUAGGUUUAUGUAAAAUAGAUUCAUAUGCUUAUUAUUACCCGUAGUGAUUUUAAUUUAUUUUUUCAUUGGACUCACCUAAAGUAUUUUAACAUUUCGCAUACAAUGAAACUAUUUAUUGGGUUUUAGAUUCAAAA